GACGAACCGUACAAACGUUAUUCGGAAUUACUGGGCUUAAAGGGUGCGUAGGCGGCGCGGUAAGUUGGGUGUGAAAUCCCUCGGCUCAACCGAGGAAUUGCGCUCGAUACUGCCGUGCUCGAGGGAGACAGAGGUGAGCGGAACUUAGGGUGGAGCGGUGAAAUGCGUUGAUAUCCUAAGGAACACCAGUGGCGAAAGCGGACUCACUGGGUCUCUUCUGACGCUGAGGCACGAAAGCUAGGGGAGCAAACAGG
rnacentral:rRNA from 1 species